AAGCCUAGCGAUAUGUAAGUUAGUGGCGGACGGGUGAGUAACGCGUGGGUAACCUGCCUUGUACUGGGGGACAACAGUUGGAAACGACUGCUAAUACCGCAUGACACAUUGGAGUCGCAUGGCUCUGAUGUCAAAGAUUUAUCGCUGAAAGAUGGCCUCGCGUCUGAUUAGCUAGUUGGCGGGGUAACGGCCCACCAAAGCGACGAUCAGUAGCCGGCCUGAGAGGGUGAACGGCCACAUUGGGACUGAGACACGGCCCAAACUCC
rnacentral:rRNA from 1 species